CAAAGGGCCGGCUUUGCAAAGCGAUCCUCCCCCUGUUCCUGUUCUGCUCUGUCGCUUACAUUCAGACACGUCAGUCUCCCGCGCUGCCCUGAAGUGCCCACGAGCAGAGAGCGCCGAGGGACGCCCGGGACAAAGUACAGCAGUUAGAACUUCAAACAGCAUCAAUCUUGGAGGGAGAAGGAUGUUGAUCCCUCAUCGGCUUCUUACCUACAAACCCUUUGAAACACGACCAAAGCGGCGGUAUCACUACCUGGCAUCGAGACAAACUCGCUGUUGUCUUCUGACAAUCCCUUUCCACACAUGAAUUACUAAAAGCCCUGACGACUAAAACAAGAUUUGGGAUUAGCUGUGACAGCUCAUGUUUGAAUGCACUCUAUGCAACAACGUGGAUGAAUCAUUUGCAUGGCUGACGGACAGAGCUGCCCAUAAAUGUCGGAGGCGGUGGUGUCAAUCCAAGUUCAAAAAUGGCAUUUCAAGACAAAGACUUGCUUCUUAUCGUGACUUCUGGGAAUGCUGUGACAGACAGAUACCUUUUCCCGUUCUAUGGCAAAAAGUAGCAGAAGUUGGGACUGUCUGAUUGCACUGAAGUUCAAAGGAUUCGGGAGGAGCAAUCAAACAUACCCCGAGGCUGCCAUUUUGGAUAUCUGGGUUAAUGGCAGAGAAAAUACAAUCUCGCAAUCCAGCUACAACUCCAACGCUAAAAAAUAAUCAGCUCAGCUUAAAAGGGCUCAUUAGGAGAAGCUUUCGAUGUGAAAAACAUGUCGCAAAGCAUGGAGAAUCCCCCCCCCCCCCCCCGCGCCUUUUUUGACUCUGGGAAAUCAAAUUGUAACAUGAUUCCUUUUAACAAAGGUUCCCCUCUGAACACAUUUAGGAGAGGCGAGGAGAGACAGCGAGCUGGCAGGUGCAUUUCCGGCUCCCACUUAAAUGAGAAUUGAAAUGGCAGCAGGACGUUUCCCCUAAUGUUGGCGCCCGUCCAGGCGUGCCUUUUGUAAGGCCGCCUGUGCAGACCUGGUCGCAGGAGAUGCCGUAGGUCUCUAGGACCUCUGCACCGCUCUUAUCUCGCCGGCUUGUCUCUGUUCUCUGCGGCUGACUUUCAUGCAAAUGGGAGUCAUAGCUCUCCAGUCUAUCUUAUCUUUCCAGGCUGCAUUGUCCAGAGUGGACACACACAAAGGGAGUCAAGGGAAUCCGCCUGUACGUUUCUUCAGAGCUCAUUGGAGCUGCACUGGUGGCGCUGAAUGGAGGGCGAAUUAUGAACGCCCUUUAUGCAGAGUUCAUAUGCGGUGAGAUCAGGACGAGAUAAGAGGUUGGCCCAUGUUGUCUGAAGUGAUUUACAUACUGUCUGUUCUAAUAGGAUUUCAUCGACUCACACCAUCCCCUUUUCAUCCCUCUUGGCUGCCUGCUACCCUUCUUAUAUCCUCUCCCAACCCUCUCCACUAUCUGCGUUUCCUCAGUACAGCGCUAUUAGCACAAAACAGCUGAAGUCUGAGGGUGAGUUUAUGGAAAUGUGAUCUGCGCAGAGAGAGUUUCCACAAACAAGCGGCGCGUUGGUUGGAUUGAAUGUCUUUCAUGUGCAAAUAAACAUUCUAUUUACUAAGUUCUAGAAACCUCUAUUCACAGAUGCAUUCAUGCCGUGCUUUUGUAGCAAUGUGAUAAAACGGCUUGUGUUGCGAAAUCCGUCUCAUUCUCAACCACUAAAAGGGAUUUACACGUCAUUUCAGUGAUAGGUGUUUAAAAC
ensembl:lncRNA